GAUGAACGCUGGCGGCGUGCUUAACACAUGCAAGUCGAACGAAGCACCUUGAUUUGAUUCUUCGGAUGAAGAUCUUGGUGACUGAGUGGCGGACGGGUGAAUAACGCGUGGGUAACCUGCCUCAUACAGGGGGAUAACAGUUAGAAAUGACUGCUAAUACCGCAUAAGACCACAGCACCGCAUGGUGCAGGGGUAAAAACUCCGGUGGUAUGAGAUGGACCCGCGUCUGAUUAGGUAGUUGGUGGGGUAACGGCCUACCAAGCCGACGAUCAGUAGCCGACCUGAGAGGGUGACCGGCCACAUUGGGACUGAGACACGGCCCAAACUCCUACGGGAGGCAGCAGUGGGGAAUAUUGCACAAUGGGGGAAACCCUGAUGCAGCGACGCCGCGUGAGCGAUGAAGUAUUUCGGUAUGUAAAGCUCUAUCAGCAGGGAAGAAAAUGACGGUACCUGACUAAGAAGCACCGGCUAAAUACGUG
rnacentral:rRNA from 1 species